rnacentral:lncRNA from 1 species
CAAAUUGCUCAAUUUAGAUGCAUAUAUAAAUUUUCAUUUUGAGUAUAGAUAUGUCAUAGAUGAUGUACAUAUUUUAUUUGAUUAUUAAAUUAUAUAUGUAUUGUUGUUGGUGUCUUGUAUAUUUCCACCGUCGACGUGUUAGUGUUCGAUGUCCAUGUCAGUCUUUGUGCUUCUUACUAUAUAUGUUUAUGUAUUGAGUUUUAGGAUUGAAGUGUGAUAUGGUAUUCUGCAUUAGAGUUUAUGGGGAAACGUUCUAAAU